rnacentral:rRNA from 1 species
AGUGAACGCUGGCGGUAGGCCUAACACAUGCAAGUCGAACGGCAGCACAGUAAGAGCUUGCUCUUACGGGUGGCGAGUGGCGGACGGGUGAGGAAUACAUCGGAAUCUACUUUUUCGUGGGGGAUAACGUAGGGAAACUUACGCUAAUACCGCAUACGACCUACGGGUGAAAGCAGGGGAUCUUCGGACCUUGCGCGAUUGAAUGAGCCGAUGGCGGAUUAGCUAGUUGGGGGGGUAAAGGCCCACCAAGGCGCCGAUCCGUAGCUGGUCUGAGAGGAUGAUCAGCCACACUGGAACUGAGACACGGUCCAGACUCCUACGGGAGGCAGCAGUGGGGAAUAUUGGACAAUGGGCGCAAGCCUGAUCCAGCCAUACCGCGUGGGUGAAGAAGGCCUUCGGGUUGUAAAGCCCUUUUGUUGGGAAAGAAAAGCAGCAGGUUAAUACCCCGCUGUUCUGACGGUACCCAAAGAAUAAGCACCGGCUAACUUCGUG